rnacentral:sRNA from 1 species
GUUGUGUUGAUUAGAUAGGGAUACUCAUCAAAUAAUAUCGAAAACCGAUGUUGCCACUCCUGCUAAUGGCGGGCCACACUAAAGGGCGAACAACCCGAGCUGUAAAGCCAGUGGAUUACAAAGGCGGAGAGCACUCAAAUCUUACAGAUUAGGAGUUUUCAUCACAUCAUUGGCACGACUC